AGGUGAGCCGGUAAGCUGUACUGCCUCUCUACAGAACACAGAAGGAAAGGCUGGAGGGGAGGUUCCCCACUGAGGGCACCACUCUUCCUCCUUCAUCCUGUGAAUCAUCUGCUGUUUCUGAAACCCAGAGUGAUGAACGGGCCAGCCCAGGCUAGCACCUUGCCUCUGUCUGCAUCAGACAACCUGAGAAUACGCAUUUCUUUUCACUUCUGACCUUUUUGCUAUUCUGCAAACCCACAAGAUCUGGGCUGCAUAAUAAUAUCUGAGGAUCAGAGCAGAAACCAAGCAAUAAUUGGGAGAUGGCAUUCAGUGGCUGACAAUUGUGAACACAAAGGGAGAUGGCCAGAUGUGCCCAGUGCUUACGACCACAUUCUAGAACUGGACCCUUUCUGGAUUCAUUAUCAGAUGUUAGUGACUUUGGACGAAGUAAACUGGAGCACCUGGAGAAAGAAGAUCAAGGGGAUGAUAAAAGAAUUUAUUAUACUUACCUCCAUUAAGCUAUGUUUUCCUUAAGGAAGAUACAUUUAUUCGACAACGACUCAGUCUUCAUUAACUGGCAGACACUGCUUAUCCUGAACAACUGCUGUGUUUUCAGCUACACAAAAUACCUUCUGAACUGAGCUCAUUAGCCUCUUUUCUUUGGCUAACAGGAAGCUCAGCACUGAAUAUACAGUACAUUUUUAAUAAUAGUCCAAAACCAUGUAAUAUCUACUUAUUUUUAAGUUUUCAUAUGUAAUACUUGACUGAAUGUUUGUAAUAGAUAUAAUAUGAAACACAAUAAAAUUUGGACCCAUGAAUCUAUACCGAAAUUAAGCCAAAGCCUUUGUCCCAGAAAUAUACCUCUUCAAUCCCA